UGAGAAAUGCUGCAGUAAUGGAUGUGGACAUCAGUGUACAGCUCCAUAUACAGCGAAACCAAAGCCCGGAGUGUGUCCAAACAAAAACCCUGGAGUAGAAAGAAUAUGUUUUGAGUCGUGUUCCCAUGACAGUGACUGUCUGAAAGAUGAGAAAUGCUGCAGCACUGGAUGUGGACAUCGGUGUACAGCUCCAUAUACAGCAAAGCCAGGAGUGUGUCCAGUCAAAACCCUUGGAGGAGUGUGUAAGGAUUUGUGUGUCGAUGACAGUGACUGUCCGAACACUGAGA